rnacentral:rRNA from 1 species
GACGUGGGGGGCGAGCGUUGUCCGGAAUUACUGGGCGUAAAGCGUGCGCAGGCGGUUCGUUGUGUCGGCGGUGAAAGCCCCGGGCUUAACCUGGGAAUGGCCGUUGAAACUGGCGAACUGGAGUGUGGCAGAGGGGGGUGGAAUUCCGCGUGUAGCAGUGAAAUGCGUAGAGAUGCGGAGGAACACCGAUGGCGAAGGCAGCCCCCUGGGCUAACACUGACGCUCAGGCACGAAAGCGUGGGGAGCAAACAGA